GGUACUGUGGCUCAAGUGGUAGAGUGCUUGCUUUGCAUGAAUGAAGCCCUGGGUUCGAUUCCUCAGUAUCA
rnacentral:tRNA from 1 species